AAUAGGACUUUGCACAUUUAUUUGUUAAUUUACUCACUUGACAAAUGUUUAUUGUGCUGCACAAGCUCUAGGUUCUGAGGAUAAAACAGUGAACCAAUCAAAUAUCCCUCAUGGAGCUGCUCUUCUAGCAGGGUGGUGGCUGUAUGUGAAUAUUUUAUUUUCUUUGGAAGUUUGUUGCCUUUGAACUAUGGGUAUUUGCUGCAAGUUUAGAACACUGGCUUGUCUAACUAAUCAGUUUGUGCUUCUUAGAAGAUUUCAGACAGGUGUCAGGAAAGAUACUGAGAUAAAGGUUAAGUGUGCAAACACAAGUUUGUAACUUGCAACACAAGUUACAGAAGUGCUUUGCCUUUCCUGAGGGAAUACUUUGAAAAGUCAUACAAAUUAUGCACAGUUUGGCAAGAAGUGGGGAAGAAAGGCAGAGAAGUGGUUCAGAGAACUUUGCUACUACCAGAAGUAAAGGGUGAGAAGAAAACCAAUAGGAAAGAAGUGGUCCACAUCGUUUAUAGGGAAGGAUGUAGAACUGAAGGAAUAUGAAACGCAUGGCAUUAGUUCAGGAAGCAGAAAGUUAGAUUUGGAAGAGAAGUGCUCCUCGUGGCCGCUUGAUGAUGAAUGUGCAAGAAUUUGUCUCUUCCUACUUUGAAACUAACGUUCAGGUUGUUUGUUGUACAGAACCCUGGAAUCUACCCAGGAAGAGGAUCAGCUGAGGAAGACAAGACAGCCAACGACGGCUUCUUUGCAAUACACGGAGCUACGUUUGCCCAUGAAGACACCAUGAAGAGGACAGUUCCACUGACCAUAAAGCUCUUUGCCGUGCGGCUCAUGCAAGUCUCUCUGGAGCUCUGUGAUUUGGAAAACCCUGUUCAAGGCAGGCUGUGUCCUGUGCUUCUACAACAGUUGGAUUUCCUUCUUUGCUUGCUGUGGAGUCUCUGCAAGUCUUCAGAUGUCCAGCACUUGGCACCUGUAUGGCUACAAGGAGGCAACAGAUAA
rnacentral:lncRNA from 1 species